rnacentral:rRNA from 1 species
AGAACGAACGCUGGCGGCAUGCCUAACACAUGCAAGUCGAACGCGUGUAGCGAUACACGAGUGGCGGACGGGUGAGUAACGCGUGGGAACCUGCCCUGGAGUGUGGGAUAACCGAGGGAAACUUCGGCUAAUACCGCAUACGACCUGAGGGUGAAAGAUUUAUCGCUCUAGGAGGGGCCCGCGUCGGAUUAGCUAGUUGGUGGGGUAAAGGCCUACCAAGGCAGUGAUCCGUAGCUGGUCUGAGAGGAUGAUCAGCCACACUGGGACUGAGACACGGCCCAGACUCCUACGGGAGGCAGCAGUGGGAAUAUGGACAAUGGGCGCAAGCCUGAUCCAGCAAUGCCGCGUGAGUGAUGAAGGCCUUCGGGUUGUAAAGCUCUUUCGCACGCGACGAUGAUGACGGUAGCGUGAGAAGAAGCCCCGGCUAACUUCGUGCCAGCAGCCGC